rnacentral:tRNA from 1 species
CAGCCUGUAGCUCAGUCUGGUAGAGCGCCUGUUUUGGGAACAGGAAGUCCCGUGUUCAAAUCACGGUAGGCUGA